rnacentral:rRNA from 1 species
CAGUCGCCGCGGUAAUACGGAGGGGGCUAGCGUUGUUCGGAAUUACUGGGCGUAAAGCGCGCGUAGGCGGUUACUCAAGUCAGAGGUGAAAGCCCGGGGCUCAACCCCGGAACUGCCUUUGAAACUAGGUGACUAGAAUCUUGGAGAGGUCAGUGGAAUUCCGAGUGUAGAGGUGAAAUUCGUAGAUAUUCGGAAGAACACCAGUGGCGAAGGCGACUGACUGGACAAGUAUUGACGCUGAGGUGCGAAAGCGUGGGGAGCAAACAGGAUUAGAUACCCCAGUAGUCCCUGUCUCUUAUAC